CUUCCACAAACUUUUCUUUUUUUCUCCUCCUCUCCCAAAACACCCUACAGGGAAAAAGAAAAGGAAAAAAAGGACUAAAAUUAUCACUAAGCGAAUGUUUCCUUCUUGUUGGAUAGAGAAUGGAAGCUGAUGUUUCUAUUCUUUCGACAAAGUUAAAAAAAAAAAGAUUUCUUUUUUGUGGGAUUUUCUUGAAAAUUAGCGUAUAGUGUUGUGGGGUUUUGUGAGAUUUGGGUUGUGCUUGUGGAGUCAAAGAUGGUGAAUUGAAUAGUGGGUUUUUGGGUUUCUUCUUAUUUUAUUGAUAAUUGGCAGAGAGGGUUUGUUAGAGAUGAUGAAUUUGUGGGUAUUUUGGUACUUGAGUGUUGUUUGUUUUUUGGGUUGUAGAGUUCUUGGUAAUGUGGUUUUGGUAGGAAAGAAUGAAACUUUAUCGUUUGAAGACAUUGAAGCUAAUUUUGCUCCCUCAGUAAGAGGAUCAGGCAAAUGCGGGAUAUUGUAUGUGGCGGAGCCUUUAGAUGCCUGCUCGACUUUGACCAACAAGGUUGAACCAGUUAAAAAUAGCACCCAUGAUCUGUUCUUGCUGAUAAUAAGGGGUGGAUGUAGUUUUGAAGAUAAAGUCAGACAAGCCCAGGCGGCAGGUUCCAAGGCAGCCAUUAUCUACAACGAUGAAUACGGUGAUCUAGUUGCAAUGGCAGGAAACUCUGCUGGUGUACAGAUACCCGCGGUGUUUGUUUCUAGAGUUUCAGGGGAAAAAAUGACAAAGUAUGCUGGUGACAUUGAUGUUGAAGUAUGGAUAAUCCCAAGCUUUGAGAACUCUGCCUGGUCCAUCAUGGCUAUAUCAUUCAUUUCGUUACUAGCUAUGUCAGCAGUGCUUGCUACCUGUUUCUUUGUCCGUAGACAUCGGAUACGAAGAGACCGGCCUCGGGCCUCACGCUUUCGUGAAUUUCAUGGAAUGAGUAGUCAUUUGGUGAAAGCUAUGCCAAGCUUGAUAUUUACAUCAGUUUUGGAGGAUAAUUGUACAUCAGUAACAUGUGCUAUCUGUCUUGAAGACUAUAUUGUGGGAGACAAGCUUAGAAUUCUUCCUUGCAGGCACAAAUUUCAUGCUAUGUGCGUUGAUGCGUGGCUUACAUCAUGGAGAACGUUUUGCCCCGUCUGUAAACGUGAUGCAAGGACUAGCAAUGGUGAGCCACCAGCAUCAGAAUCUACGCCAUUGCUUUCUUCUAGUCUAGCUUCUUUAUCUUCGUUGUCAUCCCUAAGAUCAUCAUUAGCUUCAUCAUCAGCAAUACAAAUAGGCCAAGGAGCAUCCCGAUCCCCUUCAGUUUCUCGUCCUCAAUCAAUUUCUAGUACUCCUUAUAAUCAUCAGUCGCUUCAGUCCUACCAUCAGUCACCUCAUCUUACUAUAAGCCGCAGUUCACUUGACCUUCAAAAUGCGUCUUCCCAGAGAUCUCGUGCAUCUUAUUUGAUUUCCCCUCACUCAUUGGGUUAUCCUUCUUUAUCUCCUCUUAAUUCAAGAUACAUGUCACCAUAUAUUCCUAGUCCAGGAAAUGCCUCGUCCAGUUAUAUAGGCUCCUCAAGUCGGCAUCCCAACCCACUGCGUCAUAGUGAGUCAACUACUAGCUUUUCGCCAUUUGCUUCAGCUCAGUCUCUUCCGGGAUGUGAGUCAUGAUGUGUCGUUUCUAGAAAAUCUGGGUUCAAGUCUGUACUACCCUUUUAACC
rnacentral:misc_RNA from 1 species